GGCCCAGGUGAUCCCGGCCGGCUCCGCCCCUGCCGGUAAUCGGCAGCCGCGCCCCGCCUCUUCGGAGGUGAGCUGCGCGGGCGUUCGUCUCCUCACCUGGCGGGCCCUAGGCUCGCGUUUGCUCUCCGUCUGUGUGCGUCCGCCGGUCAGCUCCUCCUCGCCGACGUGAGUGGCGGCCCCAGGCUGCCUCUCGGUGGCUCGUACCUUGCUCUGGUACCACCUUCGCUUCCGCCUGCCAAGUGACUAGUCCAGUUUUCCCCUGAGAUCUUCGGAGCUGCAGCCUCCAGCACAAAGUCCGAGAGAUUACGUCGUGGCUGCUUGAGACUUGGCGAUUUCAGAUUAUUCACCUGACUGGAGAGAGGUCUGGUCCAAGGUCCCAAAAGACCUACCUGCUAUUCACAGUCAAGGACCAAAAGACCUAGCUGCUCUCCACAGUCAAGGACUUUGGGAAUGUUUGGCCUAAGGAGGCAGUAAAAUGCAAGGUCGUUUCCAAAGAGAAGAGAGAGGAGAAGGAGAAGGGACUGCCCAGGAACACAUGAAGGCGUGUUAAGUGGCUUUGCCUGGGCAAUCCUGCCACCCAGGCUGA